rnacentral:rRNA from 1 species
CCACACCUUAAACUAUCCACGUGAACCGUUUGUACCCAGAUUUGCGCCGAGAUUUUCGUGCGUGUUUGUUUGUAUCAYUGUGUAUUCGUACGCGGUGUGUGGCAAAUAUGUAUGGAGCUUGGCUGAUCGAAGGUCGUAUCGCACUUUAUUGUGUGUGUCGGCUGACUUAUUUUUCAAACCCAUUACUUACUACUGAUUAUACUGUGAAGACGAAAGUCUUUGCUUUUACUAGAUAACAACUUUCAGCAGUGGAUGUCUAGGCUCGCACAUCGAUGAAGAACGCUGCGAACUGCGAUACGUAAUGCGAAUUGCAGAAUUCAGUGAGUCAUCGAAAUUUUGAACGCAUAUUGCACUUUCGGGUUAUACCUGGAAGUAUGUCUGUAUCAGUGUCCGUACAUCAAACUUGCCUCUCUUUAUUGGUGUAGUCCAAUAUCGAGCAGAGCAGAUCUGAGGUGUCUCGCGGCUGUUGUGUAUAGAAGGUUUGUAUGAACUUUAUAUACCAAGCUUCGAGUCCCUUUAAAACGACACGAUCUUUCUAUUUGCUUUCUACAGAGCGCAUAUUUCGAACGCGGCGGUCCUCGGAUCACUCGCAGUCGACAGCGAUUUCGGCAGAGACGUAUGGGAGAAACCUCUAUUCGCGGUACGUUAGGCUUCGGCUCGACAAUGUUGCGAUAUAGUGUGUGGCUCUCGUCUUUGUCUUGAGGUGUACUGUUGGUUGUGGGUUUGAACCUUGUGUAUUGUUUUGUUAGUAGAGUUGUGUUGUUUUUUU